AUGGCAACCUUAGCACCUAUACAAGGCGGAGCAUUGGGAGGGGCCCGAGCAUACAGACAUAGGGAUAUUGUAGAUAGGAAGUCUUGGCGAUCCAUUAUUCCCCAUCUCGUACUAGUAGAAUUGAGAUUUAAUGCACUUUCUUCCCCGUCUUUCACUCUUCUUCCUCCUCCUCUCUUCCCCAUCGUUGGUCACACACCAUUUCCCCCCGCUCACUGCUCGCCCGCCCGCGCCAUCUUCCUUGGUAGCUCGCGCGUACCAUAUCCCCCCGCUCACUGCUCGGCCACACACGCCAUCUUCUUCGCUCGCCCGCCUGAAUCCACUUCCCCGCUGGCUCGUAGGCACCGAAAACCCCAGUCACUCAGCGCCCUAGAAAACCCAAUGGCAGAACCGACUGACACACAGAGCCGUGACUGGAAUUCCCUCCCCGAUGUUCUCUUGGAGCAGAUCUGUAAUCGUAUGGACCUGCUCAGCACCGUCCGUCUGGCCGCAUGCUCGGUGUCUUUGUGGCCCAGACACCGACUUGACGAUCCUACGGAGGUUGCCGUGGUGCCCCUUGACAUGCUACCACUACCCGUCGGCCUGUCCUUCAUGCGUGGCCACUACUGGGCAGGCAUGAAGGCCAACUGGAUCAUCCUCAUCCACCAAUCCGGUAGUCCGUGGCGUCUCGUGGAUAUCUACACCCAGCGAGAGAUCACCCUUCCAUCGUUGGACACCGCCGCCAUCGAGCCUCGCGGCCCGCCGGACACCCCUGCCUACUACGCACGAGACGCUACAAUGCCUGGGGCAUUCGUGACAUUGAUGGCUAUGGCUGCUUCGUGUUCGAGAAAGAUCCCAGCUCCGUUGGGCCAGGCGUAUUCAACUGGAGGCGGGUUUACAGCCUCGGCCCACUACAUGUUCCUUGGGCUCAAUUAUUCGAUCAUCCAACCAAUCAUCGAUCAUAUCACCGGUGAUGAUUACCGUGCUAUGCAACUUCCAUUCGCCAGGGGGAACUGUGUUUACACAUCAUACCAUGGGUUUCAUGAAUCACCAUAUCCAGAGAUUCGUCGACACAGCUUGUUGCCAGAUAAUCUUCAGUGUGUGAAAGGCAUCAAGCUUCCAUGCGAUGGAUGGCUUUUGCAAACCCGACAUGCGGCGAUGUGGUUCAUGCCAACAGAAAAUAUGCACAACUUGAUUCGUACUGAUAUCUAG
rnacentral:rRNA from 1 species